UUCUCUCUGACUUUCUCAAGCGUUUAUUUCGUUCCCAGUCAAAAUAGCUCACCACGUCUAUACCCUCACCUGCUGGCCACAUGUUGCUAGCUUUCAAGCUAACCCUGCCCUGAAGCCUAUGCCCUUUCCACACUCUCCUGCAAUAUGGAGACACAUUGCCUCCUAUGAAACUUUACUACCCUACCCAGCUUCACGUUCAUCCACUCUGACAGGUUCUCCAGAGCAACCUAUAACUUUACAUCUGAAGCAAAAAAAAGUACCAAGGGUAAUCCCUUGCCGCCUACAUUAUAUGAAUACACCAUGCAGGUUCUGUGACAGCAACGGUGAUUUAUGUAGACUACGGGCUAAUCAGUGAACUACAAGACAUUGAAAGAUAUGGGAGUAAGGCGAGUCGGGGGAGGAGAUGUAAAGUGGCUUCCAGACAACAAAUGGAUGCCACCAAGCGGAGUUCAAGCAGGAACAAUCUACUCGGGUAACAUAACAAAACUAGAUAACCUAUGCUUUACAUGUCUACAUCAAAGUAAUAUAUCCAUUAUCCUGCACAGAACAAGUGAAGAUUUAAAAUAAACAGCAGAAAGUUUCCAAUAUGUGGCAUACAUAAAAAUCAGUAAUUAAGACUAAUGUAGGCAGAUAUGAAGAUCUCGCAACUACACGAACAAUAAAUAUCAAACCUUGCGAACCAAGUAGCGUCUCCAUUCACUGUACUGAAAGAAACAAUUCAUUCUAUUCGCAUCAGGUUGAUAAAAGACAAUGCCACAAGGUUAAUGACAAAAGAAAAUAGAACAACCGGUAUUCUGAUAAAGACGGUAGAACCUGAAACGAUUGCCAAUAAAUUCAAAUUUAUCAUCAAGAGUGACUCAUGCUCCAUGCAUGCAGCUCAUUAGACAUUAAUCCAACCUAGAGACCAAGGCAUUCAUACAUGCACAUAGAACUAGAUUUUUUAUCUGCCUCAGAACAUAAAUUAAACGUAACUUUAUCCACUUCUCCUUGUAUACACGGUAGCAUCAAAACUUUUUUCCUCAUCAUUGAUUAAUAUUCACACUACAAUAGAAGCUUUGAUAAACUGGAUUUGAGUGUCAAAGAUUUCGUUAUCCUAGAACUUUAAUAAAAUGAACCUCACACAAUUAAAUGACAAAACGAAGUUUUAUUUUUCCGGAAAAUGAGAUUUUAGAUAAGGGCAAAACCUUUUCUCCCUUGUUCAAGUCCAUCGAUGAGCCAUCAGAA
rnacentral:lncRNA from 1 species